CUGCUCGGACAAGGUGGUGCAUCACAGCGUCAGACUCACAGAGGAUGUGUAGCCGAGGCAAUGACACGUGGACGGCGCUGAUGGCGGCCAGAACCUCUUGGGCGUCUUGGUCACACACGGCCAGGCUGAGCACCCCCAGGUCCCGCCACUCCUGCAGCAGCUGUGUGCCGGCACCACUUAAGUGACCCAUGAACCUCUCAAGAAACAGUUGGCCAAAAUAAUAAUGGCAGAAGUAAGACUAAGCUUUGAAGAAAGAACAUGUCAUAAAGUGUUACUGGAGGCACGAAAAUGUCAAAGAAGUGCAAAGACAAUUCAGAAGACACUUUGACAGGGAUCCACCAAGGUGACGCGCCAUUGCUCGCAUCACAGCUAAGUUUGUACCAGAUGGAACUGUUCACGACCUUCAUAAGCAUGCCUGUGUGGUAGUAGUAGUAGUAGUAGUGGUAGUGGUAGAGGUAGUAUUCAUGAUUUCUCACUACUACUACUACUACUACUACUACUACUACUACUACUACUACUACUACUACUACUGUUGCUACUACUACUAUGUGAAUAUUAAUAUUAAUGCCUUAAGAAUUGUUGCAAAAACAGUUGCAGUAGUAGCAUUUAUAUUUGUAAUAGUAGUAGUAAUAGUAGUAAUAAUAGUAGUAGUAGUAAUUGUUGUUAUAUUGUUAUUAUGAUUGCUAUCAAUAAUAUCACACACACACAAUAGUAGUAGUAGUAGCAGUAAUAGUAGUAGUAAGAGUAGAAGCAAUAGUAAUUUUAAUAAUUUAGUAUAAUUUAAUUAUUUAAUUAAUUUUAUUUAUUUAUUUAUUUAUUUUAUUUUAUUUAUUUUAUUUAUUUUUUUGGUGGAUAUGAGUGUGUUCGUUGGUUGAACAAGUCCCUGUAUAUUAAAUAGACUUUUGUGUGUCGCUCAAGUACCGAACGGCCUCGAAACACUGAGCCAAAGGGAUGCCGCUCAGCCUGCAGCCAGUGUGGCGGCGUAUCUUGUGUGGUGCGCGUGUGUAUCGCAUUGUGUUCCUCCUCAUAGACUUAGUGGUGGUCAAGAUAACCAGGAUUGGCCAAGCCCUCCCUGAAGUGUGCUACCAGUAGUGUACCAGGUGUGUUGAGUAGCCGCCAGGUGUACAGCCACACGUGUGUUGUGUACAAGUGCAUGUUGUGUACAGAAAGAUCUCCCCCCUGUUUUAUAAGACCCAUAAUGCCGCUGGCCGGGAAACUACACUUGCCACCAUCUCAGACAGGACGCCAUCUUGUUGUGUAAGUCCGAGACGCCUCCUAUCACCCCAAUCUCUCCCUCCCCACCACCCGCCAGCCACUCCUUCCCACUUCCGCCAGCAGCAGCUACUGGCCGCCCACCAGCCAGCAGCCCCUUCACGGCCACUACCUGCCAGCACGCCUUCCUGCCCUUACCCCCUCCCACUCCUUCCUCCCCUCCCUUCAACCCACUCCUUCCUAACCGCCAUUCGCCACCCACUCCUGCCAGGCCCCUACCAGCAACCCACUCCUUCCAGCUCCCCGCCUGCCAUCCUCCCCUUCCCGCCCCCCACCCACCAUCCACUCCUUCUGGUCCCCACCCGCCUCACGCUCCUUUCCCCUUUCCGCCGCCCACACAGGAGCUGCUCUCCUCGCUCCCUCCCCCCCACUCAUGACGUCACGGACGGCGGUGACAGUGACUGGCUGGUGUGAACCGCACCUCACACUCGCUCUACCUAAAUGCUACUACUACUACUACUACUACUACUACAAUUACCAGUGCCACUACAAUUACUUCUGUUACUACUGCUGCUACUACUACUAAUACUACUAAUACUAAUACUCGUUCUACUUCUACUUCUACUACUAAUACUAAUAUUAGUUCUACUACUACUACUACUACUACUACUACUAUUUCGAUAACUGUUACUACUACUACUUCUACUAGUACUACUACGACUAUUAUUAUUAUUGUUACGACUACUCAUACUACUAUUUUGACUAUUACUACUACUACUACUACUACUACUACUACUACUACUACUACUACUACUACUACUACAACUACUACUUCCUUGCAAGCCUCCCUGUCCGCUUUACCGUCAUUCCUUGAUUCAUAUUUUUUAGUAUUUUUAUUUUUAUUUAUUAUUAUUAUUAUUAUUAUUAUUAUUAUUAUUAUUAUUAUUAUUAUUAUUAUUAUUAUUAUCAUUAUUAUUAUUAGUGUGUGUGUGUGUGUGUGUGUGUGUGUAGG